rnacentral:rRNA from 1 species
GAUGAACGCUGGCGGCGUGCCUAAUACAUGCAAGUCGAGCGAACAGACGAGGAGCUUGCUCCUCUGACGUUAGCGGCGGACGGGUGAGUAACACGUGGAUAACCUACCUAUAAGACUGGGAUAACUUCGGGAAACCGGAGCUAAUACCGGAUAAUAUAUUGAUCCGCAUGGUUCAAUAGUGAAAGACGGUUUUGCUGUCACUUAUAGAUGGAUCCGCGCCGCAUUAGCUAGUUGGUAAGGUAACGGCUUACCAAGGCAACGAUGCGUAGCCGACCUGAGAGGGUGAUCGGCCACACUGGAACUGAGACACGGUCCAGACUCCUACGGGAGGCAGCAGUAGGGAAUCUUCCGCAAUGGGCGAAAGCUUGACGGAGCAACGCCGCGUGAGUGAUGAAGGUCUUCGGAUCGUAAAACUCUGUUAUUAGGGAAGAACAAAUGUGUAAGUAACUAUGCACGUCUUGACGGUACCUAAUCAGAAAGCCACGGCUAACUACGUG